GUGAACAGUUGUCCUGAAGCAGGGGCUUCUGGGAAGGAAUCGUCCUAUAUAAGGGGCCAAUUAAUUCUCCCUGGCCCUUUGUUUUGCUUCCCGCUGAGUGGAAUCAUCAGAAUGUACACUGUCUACAUCCCCAUACUCUCUGGUCAAGAGGACAGCUAACUUUCCAGAGCUUCAGGACCCUUGAGAGACAUCCUACAUUUCCUGGGAGCAAACUGACAUUGGAAGGCAAGGGCCAAAAUAUUGGUCCUCUUGGCCCCCAAGUAUGCUUACUGAACAGCCAGAAGACAACAGGGAUCGGAGACCCUGGUGACGAGAGGAAGGAAGAACAAAAACAGCCUGUCCUCUGCCCACCGUAUUGAAGAUCGCCCUGCACACAGAAAUCUGUAAUGUCAAGAGCUACAAAUAAGACAUUAAGUGCUGAAAUCCCUUUUGUGGCAAAGAAAAGGAUUAAGUGUCGGCGACAAGAGUAGGUGACUGGAAAAUGCUGGACUCUUUGGCUGCAGCUCUCUGCUUUUCUUGAAAGAAAUAUGUCUUGUUUGGAUGGCUGGGUGUUGUGGUUUAACUCGGCAAGCCAAAAAUCUGAUGAGGGAAAUGAAAGUCAUGUUUGGAGGACUUUUGAUUGAGCCAAGAGUGAGAAGACAUUUGUCCAGAGUCGUUCACCACAUCCCCAAAGAGAACACACAAUGUCUUCCUUUGAGGUGCCAUAAGAAAGAGAACCUUUUUACUUAGGAAGGAAAAUUUGAUUUCAAGAGUUUGAACAUCAACGGAUUCAUUCCAACCAUAUUUUGAUGAGAAUCUCACUGGCCUCAAACUAGCUAAGAAGACCAGGCUGGCUGGCCCGUGGGCCCUGGAGAUUCAUCCACCUCUGCCUCACCAGCACUGGAAAUUCAAUACAUACCACCAUGCCUAUUUUUUGUUUGUUUGCUUGUAUUUUAACACGGGGUUGAACUCCGGACCUCAGGCUUCCAAGGCAAGCACCUCACCACCAGAGCCAUCAAUCCAUCCAGAGCUGACCCUUUUGUGAACAGCCAAUUGUGGAAAAGCAGUCCACACAGGGUCGGGGAAACUUACAAUGUCAAAUACACAAUGACCUCACACAGAUCAUUAAAAAACGUCAGCAUCCUAAACAAAGUCCCAAAGACUCUCUGAAAAUCCUCUUUUCUUCCCUGUGACAACCCACAAUCACAAGUAUGUGAGUCAGGUCUCCCUAGGUUAUGCUGAUCCAGGGGUUAGAGGUUUGUAAGAACAAAAGGGUUAUUUCUUAUUUGUAAUUUAUUACAUUGGCUGUGGGGAGUCUGAAGUCUUUUCCACAUAGGUAGGAUACAGGGAAGAACAAAAGCCCCUACACAGGCCACUUCAUCCUGGAGGCAACGGGAAAGAAAUCACUCAUAAAAACCACACAUUGCUUCUUCUAACCUCUGCCUACAAGUAGUAUAAGCAACAUCUACUUGUAGUUGAUGGGUCAAAGAAAGUCACAGGUCUAAGUCUGGCAUUAGAGACGAAAGUAAUUCCCACAGGGAGUGAGUUGCAUCAGGGGGCUGUCCUAUAGGGUAGUUCUAUCUAAAUAAAGAUUCUAUCUUUUGUUUAUCACAUAGUAAGUGUUGGAAUUUAGUAGGUAUGCAACGGGUAUUGACUGGAUGGAUAACAAGUACAUUUUCUGCUCUUCUUUUUGACAAGUAGGCCUGUUGAUAUUAGUUCUUUAUAGGGAUUCUAAAGAGAUUAAAUAUUAAUUAGCUUAGUUUAAUCAUUGCAUAUUGUAUUCAGAUCAUAAUACCACAUUGAUCCUAUAAAUACAUGCAAACACAACUUCUCAAUUAAAAACAAAAACAAAAGAAGGUCAAAUGACACAAGGGGCUUUUCCCCCUAGGUAGGUCAGGCUACUCUGUCCAUAGCCAUAGAUGACCUUGAACUUCUGAUGUUCCUGCCUUCAUCUCCAAAGUGCUGGGAUUACAGAGGUAGCUCACCAUACCCAGCUUCUUUCCUUACGGCAAGAGACUGAAAGUUUCACAGCAGUCAUGAUGUGGGCACUCUCGGGGCUGCUCAGAAAAGCUCCCACCUUCACAAUGAUGCCUCAGGCUCCUCCCUAGCUUCCAGUCCUCUCCCUGCCGUCUUCACUCUCCAGGAGCCCCUUC